GGCCAGGUGGCAGAGUGGUUAAUGCGGUAGACUCGAAUGAAAAUGAGAUUAUCUACUUCCUUCGGGAGCGUCUGUUCGAAUCAGGCCCUGGUCG
rnacentral:tRNA from 1 species